UUAGAAGCAACCUCGUCCUCUACUGCUGCCACUCUAGUGCCUGCCAGAGACAGCCUGCUACGACGGGCAUGGGCUCCACGUCGCCGGCGGCGCGGGCUCCGGCACCGGCCGCCGAAGCUCAGGAUUAUUUUCCUUUUCUCUAGAUGAUUGUCUCCCGACAAACAAGAGGAUGCGUAGGCACGAUGCUGAGCAACCCGUCCAGAACUGUGAUUGGAUCAGUACACUGCCUGAUGACAUUUUAAUCAAAGUUCUUUCCCUAAUGACUAUAAGCAAGGCUGCAAUGACAGGCUGUCUUUCCACCAGAUGGAGACACCUCUGGAAAAACAUCGACCAUCUCAUCCUUGAUACUCAUAAUUUCGGGAUGCAAGAGCCACAACUCUCAGAUUACCAUGAAAAUCCUCAUUUUUGGAAUACUGAAGCUACAAAGUUUGUUCACAAAGUAAAUGGGCUUUUGCAAAAUCAUUAUGGUGAUAGAAUCAAGGAAUUCACUGUCAGAUUCCCAUUAACCUCAGCCCAUGCUUCUGAGCUGGAUCGCUGGAUUGGCUUUGCAAGAGCAGCCUCUACAGAAAGGCUCUGCCUUGACCUUGAUGACAAGCAUUAGAAGGCGAGCUGCGUGAUUUGUAGCAGAAGCUGGGAGUUUCCUGCAUCCGCGGAGCCAUAUGACUUCCUUUUGUGGCCUUUUUCUGAUGGGAGAGGCUGCUCUUUGAUUCAGUUGACGCUGUCCAAUUGCAGUUUAGGAACAGAGCCUGCAAAUCUUAGUGGCUUUUCAAGUCUUCGUUUCCUUUCUCUGAGCCGUGUGUCAAUGGCUGAUGCAGUUGUUUUAAAUAUUAUGUCCAGCUGCUGUGCUCUCCAUAGUUUGACUCUACGAGAUUGCGAUCAAUUGACUCACGCAACAAUUUCAUGCACGAUUGCAGAUCUUGGAGUUUGAUUUCUGCGAUAGCUUACUUAGUGUUGGUAUUCAUGCUGACAAACUUCUGAGGUUCGUGUACAAGGGCCACAAGAUAAAUAUUGGCUAUGAAUAUGCACCAAUUCUUCACCAACUCUAUGUUUAUUUUGUGAAGAAGAAUGAAUGCCCUUUAGACUUCAUAAGUGCACUUCCUAAGCUUCCUAAGCUGGAAAUGCUGGUCUUACAAUUUCCCGAACGUUUACAGGUAUCUCGUGCGCUGCAGCACACAGUAAGGUUUGCUGGUCUGACGGCAAUUGUGCUGUCUCUCUUGAAAUCCUGGAAAGAGAGCAUUUGCUCGCUGGCUUAUCUCCUUAAAGCAGCUCCUUUAGUUGAAUACUUUGGGCUACAUGGUUGCAGCGAGCUUCAGCAACCUAUUGAGCUGAACAUUACAUGGCCUGAGGAUUUUACGCUUGCAAGGCUCUACACAAUCAUAAUCAGAGGGUUUAGUGGGGAAUCAGAGCUGAUGGAACUCCUGUACUUUCUGCUGAGGAGGACAACUGUUCUGGAGAUGCUGCAAAUGGAGACGCGUGCGAAGGAACCACGGCACGUCAAAUUGCUGAGGCACCAGUCGGAAGAUGCUACGAGGUGCCCUUAUGCAAGAGAGAUGGCAUUGACACACUUGGGUCCUAAAGUUCCACCAACCGUGAAGUUCAGUGUUACAUGACUUGCCUGCUUGCUGAAAAACGCCAGUUGCAGAUUCGGUGACCGAAUAACAUGUUUUGAGCUUUUCGCAUCUGGUCGAGCUAUAUAUGACUCUGUUAGCCUGGUAGCUUCAAAAGAAGAACUGAUCGGUCCUGAAAUGUUGCUUUUCUGCUGCCCAGAGACAUCUUGUCCUUUGUGUGUGUGUGUGUGUCUGGAUGCUGAAGUCCUUAUUUUCUACCAAAGUACCACUGCUAAAGUUUUUUGUAAAUUUGUGCAAGUAGUUCCCAUUAUCCAUAGACAGGGGUGAUGUACACUAGACGAAUUCCCUAGCAACUACCUUUGAACCAUAAAUGGUUACAAUUAAACUCUCUUUUAUCGUUUUCUUUUC